rnacentral:rRNA from 1 species
UACGAAGGGGGCUAGCGUUGUUCGGAAUUACUGGGCGUAAAGCGCGCGCAGGCGGUUCUCCAAGUCAGUGGUGAAAGCCCCGGAGCUCAACUCCGGAACUGCCAUUGAAACUGUUGAACUUGAGGACGAGAGAGGUGAGUGGAAUUCCCAGUGUAGAGGUGAAAUUCGUAGAUAUUGGGAAGAACACCAGUGGCGAAGGCGGCUCACUGGCUCGUAUCUGACGCUCAGGCGCGGAGCG